UGCCACCAUGUGAUCUUGAGUCUGUCUUUUGUCUACAGCUGUGAAAUAGGAAUGACUGUUUGUUCAGCCAAGAGUCCAGCAAAGUGGUUCUGCAGGCCAGCUCUGAAGAGUGAUGUUUUUGACCUUUUGCAGAAAGGAUACAUUCAUCCUUGAAAGGCAUCCAGAAGGACUUGGGAGGUCACAAUAGGUGAAGACGAGUUUAGCUACAAGCAUGGAGUCAACAGUGAGAUCGGAUARAAAGUACCCAAGCAAGUCACUCAAGGAGUAGGACUUGGCUGCUGCUCUGCUACUGUCAAUGAAAGUGAUCUGUCCUUUACAUUCUGAUCCAUGAGGAUGUUUGUGAAACUGUCAUGUCAUUGGAAGAGUUGAUAAUAUUUGUAUGACUUGAAAGAUUUGGUAAAAUUUGCCAGGAAAAUAGCUAUUUUGAUUUUUUUU